GCGUGACACCGCCAGGCGGGUGAUCGCGGAGCCGCGUGACUCGGGCUCGGCUCCAAAGUCCCUGGCCCAGUUCUCCGCGCGGCCCGAGGCGGAAAGUGGGCGGUGGCUCGGGGUAGAGGAGGCGGUCCCGGGAGCCUGCAGCCAAUCAGAAGAGUAUGCAACUUAACCCAACAAAGAUGGCGGUUAAUUUGCAUACACAGGCGCCAAGCGAAGACUGAAGACAGCGUAGAAGGAAGCCAAGCACUGCAGAAGGGAGCCAAGUGGUGGAGAAGGGAACGGAUUGGAGGUGUUCAGACUUUGUCCUGUUUUUAAAAAAUGGCUUAUUGGGAGGAGAGAACCAAGAUGGCAGCAUAGGUAAAUGCCAGUACUCGCCGCCUCCCAUAACCACUUCAAAAUUAAAACUAAAAUACAGAACAACCAUUAUUUGGAACUGCCUGAAAGCUGGCUGAAUGGAAGUCUUACAACUAGAGAAAUAAAGAAGAAAGCACAUUGAGGGUAGUGGGAGGGGAAGAGGGGCAGAACAACCUGGGCUGGUACCCACGUGGGCCAUUUUUUUAAUCCAGAGGGAGAUCGUCCCUGCAGAGGCCACCGUGAGGGGCAGGGGGUUCCAGCCUCACACCAGACCCCCCCGCCCAGGGUCCCAGAGCUGGGAAGAGAAGACCUCGUAACUAUGGGCUGUAAGAACUAGUGGGGAACAUGGAACUGUGGAACAGACUGACAAAUCUCAGAGGGAAGUGGGGAGUUGGGGUGGGAAGAGAUUAACCAAAGAUCUUAUAUGCAUUACAUAUGGACACAGAUAAC